UACGUAGGGUGCAAGCGUUGUCCGGAAUUAUUGGGCGUAAAGAGCUCGUAGGCGGUUUGUCGCGUCUGCUGUGAAAUCCCGAGGCUCAACCUCGGGCUUGCAGUGGGUACGGGCAGACUAGAGUGCGGUAGGGGAGAUUGGAAUUCCUGGUGUAGCGGUGGAAUGCGCAGAUAUCAGGAGGAACACCGGUGGCGAAGGCGGGUCUCUGGGCCGUAACUGACGCUGAGGAGCGAAAGCGUGGGGAGCGAACAGG
rnacentral:rRNA from 1 species